UUCAGAUCUGUUGGGAGUUCACAUCAGUGAUCCAACAACUAUACAGACACCUUCUAUAGCAGUGGGUUUGACUCCAGGUCCUAGAUCUACUUUGCCUCCCAGCACGACAGUGAGUCCUACAGAAGACACCACAGUGACACCAACUACCAGUAAGUAGAUCCACCAAUUUAAACUUAGUUUGCAAAUACAAUAUCUUUGUUC